UCUAGCCUUUGGAGCACUAGGUGGGGGCGGGGGAAACCUGGUCCUAGGAAUUCUAGGCCGCCAGAUGAGAGGCGAUGCUUUCGCCCUCCAGGCGAAAGGAUUUGUCGGGGAGAGACAGCAAGAGUUCGACCAGCCAGCCACUUUAGAGAUUGUCAGGGGCGCUCAGCUCAUAGGGUGGCUCGAGGGCCAGUGCGAAGCUCCCUUAGGGACGAAUUUCCACAUACGACGAAAGGCAUCUGCGAAAGGAUGGGCUGUCCCGUGGGGGGAGUCGGCAGAUAUUUAAGUAACACUAACAUUUAACGAAUUAAGCAGCUAUUUCUAUUUACUGAGCAAUUAGUACGCUUUGAGAGAGAGGCCCUACCGAGGCCUCGCGGUGGCUGUAAGUCCGUGGGGCCGAGGCCAGGUGGCGCCAAAGGCCCAUCGACGCCAUCUGCCCGGCUGUCCGGGCCCAGUCUCCGGGCUCGCCCAGAGAACCCGAAAUCUGGACAAACGGAAACCGUAGGUGGAGGAAGAAGAGGGCUCCAGGGCCAGGUUCAAGGGCAUCGUGGUGAGAGAUGAGGGGUUCGGAGGACUGGUGGAUCUGGGCAUAUCGCGAAGGUGGUAAGGGACCCAGGGGUGGAGUGGGCGGUGCUUGCGCCAAGAGGGUGAGCCUGAGUGUGGGCGGGGCGUGCGAUAAGAGGCUCGCUCGGUAGCGCUCUUCGCAGAGCCGUAUUUGUGCGCUACGCCGCAGCCAGGGCGCUCUGGGUGGGCGGGACUCCAGGGCCCCCAGGGGCGUGGCUUGCAUCUUUCGUGGGCGGCCCCGGGGGCGGGGCUCCGUGUAGGUGAACCGCUACCUCCGCUCGAUGUGUGAGGUGUGACAGUCCUACGAGGGCGCAGUUCUUCCACUUUUGUGAGCUUGAGAGGGGGCGGAGCUUGUAGCUGGGGACGGAGCCUGAAGAGGAGGUUGAGGGGAACUUCACACGUUUCCCUGGAGGGCGGAGUUUACAUCAUCCCCCAACAGAGUUAAGACCUCUGAGGGAUUCCCUGCAGUGUCCAGGGCUCUGUGAGGCGAAGCUUGCAGUUGUGUUGGGCGGGGCCUGUAGCGCCGCGUGAAGAGAAUGUGUAAACUCGGGGCGAAGUUCAUACCUCCUAGAAGCCGAGACUAAUAGUUCCGCCAAUCUGCGCGCGCCGAGCGGAGGAGGUGGGGCUUGUAGGUUGUGGGCGGGGGACUGGGCGGGGCCAAGAGGGCAGGGGGCGGGCACAAUCGCUGCUGGAAUCUUUGAGUUGGCAGGGGCGGGGCUUGUGGCUUUGUGGGCGGGGCCUCUGGAGAGCUCCCGGGGGCUCUCUUCUGUUCUGCAGCGAGUAGGCGUGGCUCGUAGCUCCCAGGUCCGGGCUGAUACCGCUGGAGUAUGCAGUUCGCCGCCGCGCCCGAAUGAGGCGGGGCCUGCGAGUAAGUGGGCUGAGCCCGGGCUGGGCGCAGGCCGGGGCUCUGCCCUGGGAGGCCGUCUGUUUAGGCCCGCACGCAGCUCCGCAUCUGGUGCUCAUUACCAGAUGACAAAGAGCCGGCUCUGGGCCCCCUUCCCCACUCCCAUCCCCCGCCUCCGACUGCAGUGUAUUUAACUGUUUCCUGCCCUCGAGGCGCUCUAGAUCCCUACCCGAGGUCACGGAGGGGACUCCAGACCAUCCCGUCUCUGCAGGCCUUGUCGCUCCCCAGGCUUCCUCACCUCCUUCCCAGACUCAGCCGUCUGGGCCGCCUCGCAACCCUCAUUGGCAUCCAGCAAACCUGCCCGACGGCGUCUCCGAGGUUAAAGCUGUGCAGGAUCUGGCGGGGACGUCUGGUUUGAGUUAGGGGAACGUGAGAGCGGGGACCGGGGGCGGUGCGUAGCGUUCCCUCCGCCCCCUCCGCGACCCCCUGGUUCAUCCCCAGCUCCGGCCCCUCCUUUCCUGGUUCCCUGGGGCCCAGCUCAGCCUUCCAGCUCAGGUCCAGGCCCGAAGGGGGCGCUGGGCCACUCCUCCUCGCCUGCCCGGGUGGUCGUGGCGGCUCUGCCCCGUCCUAAUUAGAGGCCCCCAAGAGGCUGUAACUGAAAAAUUACAGAGGCGGUGGGAACUGGCGCCUCCCCUCCCCAGGUCUCACCCCCGCCCCCCAAGGCAGUGAGCACGAAAUGAGGGAGGUCACUCCCACCAGGCUGUGAUCUUUGACCAGGCCCUCCAGUUCCUGGGACACUUCAGUCCUGAGCAGCCGGAGCCCUCGCUCAAGCUCAGGUCUGCUGAGCUCUGUCUGUCCCCCACCACCCCCAGCCAACAUGGACAAGAGGCCUUGCUCCUGCGGCUGUCCAAGCAGUUAGCAUGGGAUCUCUCCCAGGUUCCCGGCCUUUCCCAUCCCAGCCUCCUCCCCGGAGCAAGCGGAGGAAUGCCUCCAAGAGCACCCACAAACCAGGGGUUGGCAGUCCCCUUGAGUUACCCUGAGCCCCAGCCCCCAACUUCCGCGAAGCUUACAGGGAUGGGAAGGGAAGUGUCUGAAGAAAGGAGCAACUCACCCACUAGACCCCUCCUUCACUCCUCUGAAUCACCAGCCCCAGAGCCUACUUUGACCCCUAAACCCCAGUCCGGUUCAGCAGAUGCCCUAAUUCCACAACCGUCCCCCAGAUUCAGCCCCACCUUCUUGGAGCUUUGGUAAAAUAAGGAAUAAAUAUGAAAUUCUCCCCAUGCCAAACCUCCCACUGCUGGGCUCAACUGUGUGACCUUGGGCAAGGCUCUGCCCUCUCUGGGCUCCUGCUUCCCUGAGAAUCUCUGAGGCAUACCCUCCCUUAAAGGGAUCUUACCUUAUCUCUUUGAGGACUCAGACAAACUGAAGGAAGAUCCCCUCCUUUUUGCUGAGUCCUCCCAGAACCUCCCUUAAGCACCAGUGGGGGUCAGAAGCCUUGGGUAAGGUUGACACCCCAUUUAUUGGAGAAGACCCCAGCACCCGCCCCCUGAGGUCUUAAGGGCUU
rnacentral:lncRNA from 10 species